rnacentral:rRNA from 1 species
AUCGAACGCUGGCGGAAUGCUUUACACAUGCAAGUCAAACGGCAGCACGGACUUCGGCCUGGUGGCGAGUGGCGAACGGGUGAGUAAUGUAUCGGAACGUGCCCAGUCGUGGGGGAUAACGUAGUGAAAAUUACGCUAAUACCGCAUACGAUUUAUGGAUGAAAGCGGGGGAUCGCAAGACCUUGCGCGAUUGGAGCGGCCGAUAUCAGAUUAGGUAGUUGGUGGGGUAAAGGCCCACCAAGCCAACGAUCUGUAGCUGGUCUGAGAGGACGACCAGCCACACUGGAACUGAGACACGGUCCAGACUCCUACGGGAGGCAGCAGUGGGGAAUUUUGGACAAUGGGCGAAAGCCUGAUCCAGCCAUUCCGCGUGCAGGAUGAAGGCCCUCGGGUUGUAAACUGCUUUUGUACAGAACGAAAAGGUUUCUACUAAUACUAGGAGCUCAUGACGGUACUGUAAGAAUAAGCACCGGCUAACUACGUGCCAGCCGCCGCCGUAA